rnacentral:rRNA from 1 species
UACAGAGGCCCCCAAGCAUUAUCCGGAAUCACUGGGCGUAAAGGAUGUGUAGGCGGUCGUGUUAGUCUAUCGUGAAAGCUUUUUGGGCCUAACCCAGAAAACGCGGUGGAAAACGGCACGACUUAGAGGAUGCGAGAGGUAUAUGGAACUCAUGGUGUAGGGGUGAAAAUCCGUUGAUAUCAUGGGGGAACACCAAAAAGCGAAGGCAAUAUACUGGCGCACUCCUGACGCUGAGACAUGAAAAGCGUGGGGAAUCGAACGG